rnacentral:rRNA from 1 species
CAAUGGGCGAAAGCCUGACCCAGCAACGCCGCGUGAGGGAUGAAGUAUUUCGGUAUGUAAACCUCGAAAGAAUGGGAAGAAUAAAUGACGGUACCAUUUAUAAGCUCCGGCUAACUACGUGCCAGCAGCCGCGGUAAUACGUAGGGAGCAAGCGUUGUUCGCAUUUACUGGGCGUCAAGGGCGCGUAGGCGGCGCGGUAAGUCACUUGUGAAAUCUCUGAGCUUAACUCAGAACGGCCAAGUGAUACUGCUGUGCUAGAGUUCGGAAGAGGCAACCGGAAUUCUUGGUGUAGCGGUGAAAUGCGUAGAUAUCAAGAGGAACACCUGAGGCGAAGGCGGGUUGCUAGGCCGACACUGACGCUGAUGCGCGAAAGCCAGGGGAGCAAACG